AGAUUGAACGCUGGCGGCAUGCCUAACACAUGCAAGUCGAACGGGAGUAGCAAUACUCUAGUGGCGGACGGGUGAGGAAUACGUAGGAAUUUGCCCUUAAGUGGGGGAUAACCCGGGGAAACCCGGAUUAAUACCGCAUGACCUCGAAAGAGCAAAGUGGGGGAUCGCAAGACCUCACGCUUUUGGAGAAGCCUACGUCGGAUUAGCUAGUUGGCGAGGUAAUGGCUCACCAAGGCGACGAUCCGUAACUGGUCUGAGAGGAUGAUCAGUCACACCGGAACUGAGACACGGUCCGGACUCCUACGGGAGGCAGCGAGUGGGGAAUAGUUAGGACAAUGGGGCGCAAGCCUGAUCCAGCAAUGCCGCGUGUGUGAAGAGGUCCUUGGUUAGUAAGCUACUUUAAGGUUAGGGAAG
rnacentral:rRNA from 1 species